UUCCAUGAGUAAUAGAGGCGAGCGUUUCCCUUCCAUAUUGGUAUUAAAACGUGAAAGAAGUAAAAGGUUGAAAUUGUGCAAACAUCGAAAGAUUAUAAACUAAUCUAAAACUUUCAUAACAAGAAAAUGAGAGCAAAGUGGCGUAAAAAGAGAAUGCGUAGGCUAAAACGCAAAAGGAGGAAGAUGCGUGCGAGGUCUAAAUAAAUUUUGCAUCAAUAAUUUCUCUGCAAGAGUUACAUUAUUAAAAAGACCAACUUCGAUGUAUUGUACUAAUUUCAAUUAUUAAUACAAUUAACUUUCCCAUGCAGAGAUUUCA